rnacentral:piRNA from 1 species
UGUGAUUAAAUGAAAGAAAUUCAUUUGAA